GAUGAACGCUGGCGGCGUGCCUAACACAUGCAAGUCGAGCGGCAGCGAGGGGUGCUUGCACCCUGUCGGCGAGCGGCGGACGGCUGAGUAACGCGUGGGAACGUGCCCCAAAGUGAGGAAUAACUGCCCGAAAGGGUAGCUAAUACCGCAUAUUAUCUUCGGAUCAAAGGAUUUAUCCGCUUUGGGAGCGGCUCGCGUCGGAUUAGGUAGUUGGUGAGGUAAUGGCUCACCAAGCCGACGAUCCGUAGCUGGUCUGAGAGGAUGACCAGCCAGACUGGAACUGAGACACGGUCCAGACUCCUACGGGAGGCAGCCGUGAGGAAUCUUCCACAAUGGGCGAAAGCCUGAUGGAGCAACGCCGCGUGCAGGACGAAGGCCUUCGGGUUGUAAACUGCUUUUAUAAGUGAGGAAUAUGACGGUAACUUAUGAAUAAGGAUCGGCUAACUACGUG
rnacentral:rRNA from 1 species